UGAAGGAGGCUUCCCAAGUGAAUCUAGACAAUAAAUUGUCUUUGCCUCCUUCCACAAGUGUGAAAUAAUUACAUAUUACCCAAAUCCUGCAGCCCAUCAGGGCUGAACACAGAUUACAAAAUCAUAUUCAAUACUGUUUAACAGUAACUUUAAAUGGAUCACUCACUGAAAUCUUGAGGUUUAAACACAAUCGUUUUGAAAAUCUAGCUGAGCUCUAUGUUGCUCUGUUAUUCUGCUGAGAGAAGGAGGGGAGACGGGUUUAUUCCUGUCAGUAAAAAAAAAAAAAAAAAAAAAAAAAAGAUGAACUGUGUAAAAAUAAUGUAAGGGGAACACCCACUAUUCCUGUCCCUUCUCAAAUGUCACGUCACAUUGAUCCUGGUGAGCCAGGAAGUCACUUAAUGCAUUCUUUAAAAAGUCAGACUGUCCAGGGAAAGGACACCUUCUUUCACUUCCAAUCAGCCAACCCAUCACUCCUUUCCUCCAUUUGUAAGUCUGUGGAGUAACUUAAAAGGCAUGAGUCAUGUUCUGAAAAUCAAACAUGCGCAUGCAGAGCAUGCAAAAUGAACCGCGGAGAGAGUCGGCAUUAGAGACACAAUGCGGCCUUUGUGAAACAUGACAACAUCCCUGGGGACCGAGGCUUCUGAGUGUUGCUGAACUGAGGAGAGUAAUAACAGGGUCCAGGGUUUGCCAGAGAGUGUGUCAUAACAUGGAGAUUUUAGGAAAAGUGUGGAGUCCCUUUAAUCAGCUCUGAGAGGAGCUUGCUAAUAGUGCCUUUUUGUCAGUUGUUUAUGUGGUGGGUGGGUCAACAUCAGAACUUUACCCUUUUAUUGUUAUGAAAAUUUGUAGACUGUUUAUCUAUUUUCUUUCCCUUUUCCAAGGAAACAUUUGCAAAAUGUUAAUUACAGAGAUUCUAGCUUUACCUUUCCUGAAAGAUGAAUUCUGAAACAUUACUUUUACUUGGGAUCACCUCUCUUAAUUGGGGGACUUUAGUUUCAAUGACUUUGCCUGUCACUCUGAGCAGGGUUUGUGCUCCAAAGGAAUCUCUUGGGAUCUACCAUUUGUCUGGGAGACAGGGAUAUUAUUUUGGGCUGUGAAGUCUGUUUGCUAAAAAAAGUGCUGGGAGGAUACCAACCACACACAAAUGUAGGAAUUUCUACUUGUUAAGCCUUUCCGUCUGCAGGGGAGUUGUUGCAUUAUUUCUUACAGCUGU
rnacentral:lncRNA from 1 species